rfam:Tilletia walkeri strain DAOM 236422 scaffold_25, whole genome shotgun sequence.
UCCCGGCUAGCUCAGUUGGUAGAGCGUCAGACUCUUAAUCGCAAGGGUUUCUGCGUAUGAUCGCAGUAUUAAUCUGAAUGUCGUGGGUUCGAGCCCCACGUUGGGAG